rnacentral:RNase_P_RNA from 1 species
AAGGCAGUGUAAGAGACUACCGCAUUGCUGGUAACAGCAGUGGCACAUGUAAACCCCAUUCGAAGCAAGACCAAAUAAAAGCGAUAUAAAGGCUGCCCGCCAAGCUUUAGGUAGGUCGCUUGAGCCUGCUGGCAACAGCAGGACUAGAUAGAUGAUCAUCACAGCUUAUGCUGACAUAACCCGGCUUAUAGUGCUGCUCAUUUU